AACACUGGUAAGAUGGUGGUAUCUUGCCUGCAGCUGCAGCAGAGGGAUACACUGGGGUCAGAAUUUUUCAUGUUGAGUGUUUCCAAAAGACAGUUGUUCCCUUACUGCCAGGUCAACCGCCAGAAAGACCUCAUGAGAGUAACGAGAAACCUGGGGCCUGGUGCUAAUGAUCCGUGUCCUAAAUCCCUUGCUUCUUGCAACGACUUCCUGUGCAUGUUCUCUUUUAUUAGGAUGUGAACAAAUUUGCUGAAAGACGCUCAUUCUGCCUAAUCAAGCUAGCAACCAGAGGAUAUGACUAAAAUCUGAAAAUUCUCCAAAGCCAGGGCUGCAGCCAAAGAUUUCAAGAUGUGCUCAUUCAAAGAAAGCUGGACUAUAAAGCAAAGAAAUUCCUGCAGAUGAGAAGCAAACUGCGAUUAGUGACCUCUUGUUCAAUGCACGGGCACGGCGAUGGUGUAUGAAGCAGGACAUGUAGAAAGAAGAGAUACACAAAGAAGGGAUCUCCUUAGCUGGACAGGACAAAGAUGAAAAUACUUACUGACAAAUGAUGACUCUGAGCCACCAAACUAAUACGCCUGUGAACACACGUGACUCCGGGAGACGGCAGAGGAUUUCCAGCAGCUGUGCCAUUGCACGAAGUCCUCAUAAGGCAGCAUUUAAAAGCUUGCAUAUAAUUCUGUGUGGGAAGGUUAGGAAAAAGACAUUCACGUGGUAUCAGAUGGGGAUAUCUGAAAUCCUGGGGGAAAGAGAAGCUGCCUUCUGAGGGGUGACUCAGAAAGCUUCGCUAGAUGAUCCUAUUUAUCAAAACUGAGCAGGAACAUGGUGGCAGUUUCUGAAGACGCACCAUUGAGUCCACUGGAGGGUCACCAUGCUGGUCAGGGGAUGGAGCACACAAUAUAUGAGGAAAGGCUGAACUGGGCAUAUUCAGCCUGGAGGAGAGAAGGCUCAGGGGAGACUUUAUUGCAGCCUACAGUUACGUGAUGGAAGGACACCAGAGAAGACAGAGCCCAACUCUUCUAAAGGGUGCACAGUGACAGGAUGAAAGGCAAUGGAUAUUGUUGGAACAUGGAAAAUUCUGAUUAGACAUAAAGAAGUUUUUAACUACAAAGAUUGUCAACUAUUGGAACAGGUGCCCAGAGAGGUUGUGGGGUCUCCAUCCUUGGAGGGUGUCCAACUUGAAAUGGCCUGGAACAACCUGAUCUGAUUAGACCUGCUUUGAGCAGGGGCUGGACUCAAUGAACUCCAGGGUUCCCCUGAAACCCAAAUUUUAUUAUGAGUCUACGAAAAUGCAUUAAAAAGGAGAGGAAAAAAACUCAGUAGUUAAACCUAAAAAAUAUUGCCACCACCCAAGAAAAAAAAAAUAAAAGGAGAGAGAGAGAAAAAAAGAGAUUGUCGUUAACCUUGGGGAGCAAAAUGAGCAGGUUUAUAAUCAGAGUUGUUCUUAAACUGUAAGGACAAAAAUCUACUUACCCUUGAAAUAAAAUUAGAUCAAUUUAUGGUAUGGAGUGGAAUGAAAAGGACUGGACUAGCAACCCUGAAAGUGCCACAUCCCUGUGACCUGUGUUGAUGCGUAGCUGUGACAACCCUAAACCCAUUUUUGAAACAGGAUUUCUGAAUCACUGAUGACAUUUUUACAGAAACUCACAAACCAGUGAAGGAAUAUGUACCAAUAAAAACAAUUCCGCAUAUUUUUCCCCAGUAUGAAAUACUGAAAACCCAGAGGAAGAAUUUCACUGGUACUUGCAGCAGAAGAGCAGAGCGCACAGCCCCGCUCCCAGGGCUGCCAAAAUGAGAGCGCUGAGUGUGAGCACCACCAUGGGGCAGGCUGUUGUCACCCACGGCCAGUGUAAAUCAGCCUGCAGCCUACCUCUGAGCUGCCCUCGAGAGUGGGUCCGCGUGCGAAGUGAAUCGGUCUAGGAAACCAGAUUUUUCUCCUACAAACAAUAGAUAAAGCUUCUCAGGCUGUGUUUCUGGAGAUGUUUCUCUGCAGUCGGAGGAAAGGGCACGUUCGUGUUUCACAGCGAAGUGCAUCGCUCUACGCAAGAAAACAUUUCCUUGGCAAAAACUUAAUUCUGUUCGUUUAGUCUUUCUAGUGCAGCAGAGAAAGCUUCCCGCGUGCUUCAGCUGAAUGGGUAAGUGCUCAAAACAGAGCAGUUACACUCUUUGCACGUGACAUUACGAGAAACAGGUGAAAAUUACCUACACCAGUUUGGAGAAUGGUAUUCUGCACUUUCCAUCACUGCUCCUGGGUGACUGGAAGGUUUAACAGAUGCUCCUCUGAAAGCCUAUUUGCCAGGCGAAACCGAGAGCUUUUGCUUUGGCUGCCUUUCAAAUGCAAGACUACAGAAUGUUUUCCAGAAAAGUUUGGAUGGGAGAGAUUACUCACAAAUUGCCUUUGUCAUCACUCAGAGAAGAACUGUCUCUGGCUGGAAAUACUUCAGAGAUAUUUAUUGUAUUCUGAAAACUUCAUUUUAUUUCUAACUUAUUUACAGUUAAACAUUCAGAAUCAUAAAAUAUGAAGUAUAAAAUAUUUAACAAAAUAGAUGCAGUUCAUGUUGUUCAGAUGCACCAUAGAUAUAUGAUGAAACAGUAAACAGCAUAGGAAUUUCCUUACGGUCCGCUCUCUCAUUUACCAAGCAUAGGAGGGUGUAGACCUGCCCUAUACAUUCUGGUCUGACCAGUAUGGCAUCAACUUUCCAUUUCAGAGAGAACAACACCACUCUGAUUUCUGUGUCCUCUGUCUUCCACAGUUACUUUCACUAUCUAAAAUGCAACACUGUAAUGUUCAAUACAUCAGAUACCCUCUGAAGUUGGUAUUUUCAAUACUUUUUUUUUUUCUUUUAAAUAUAGAACUUCCU